rnacentral:rRNA from 1 species
UACGAAGGGGGCUAGCGUUGCUCGGAAUCACUGGGCGUAAAGCGCACGUAGGCGGGUCGUUAAGUCAGGGGUGAAUCCCGGAGCUCAACUCCGGAACUGCCUUUGAUACUGGCGAUCUUGAGUUCGAGAGAGGUGAGUGGAACUGCGAGUGUAGAGGUGAAAUUCGUAGAUAUUCGCAAGAACACCAGUGGCGAAGGCGGCUCACUGGCCCGAUACUGACGCUGAGGCACGAAAGCGAUGGGGAGCAAACAGGGAU